UUACUCAUUGAAACAAGAAGCUCCCCAGAAGCACUAUGUGCCCCUUCUGCGAUUUAGAUUUUAAGAGCUUCUUAGGAGCUAAUGGAUGGAGUGUUUGUUGCUGUUUCAAUGAACAUGACGGUUGAAGUGUCACAGUAAGGGUCUGUGUAAAUAGUGCCCAGCUUACAAUGUGGCCUGCAGGCCAGACUGGAUGUCAUUUGUCCCAGAUAGUGUCACUGGAUGGAGUGGGAUUUCUAGUGGAAGAAGACCUAAAGUGUGAGUCAUGCUGGAAGGGAGAAACAGCUGCUGGGUUGCUCCAAAAUCUUCUGAAAUAAAUAGAGAAGAACAGAAUGGAUGGAUGCCAGGAUUAUUUACAAGCAGCCUAAUCUCCCUAACAACUCUCCCAAACCAUUCAUCUGGUUCAGAAGAUGAAGGAUACUCAAUUAUUCAAUGAAAAGGUUAAGCCUGUGGUAAAUAUGCAUAGUCAGUAAUGAAAUGUACUUCCCCUGGGUAUUUUUUAAAAAGAAUGCAGACUGACAGAUGUUUACCACAUCCUAUCUGGAUAUGUUUUCUGAGGUUUUAGUUUGUGACACUGCUUAUGCUUAUUUUCAAAAUGUAGUUCUUUGGCUUUAUUGCUUUACUGAAGUUGUAACUGGGUGACAGUGAAGUAAGUCAGCCAUGAAAAUCCAUAUGCAUCCAAGCCAAGGCAAUACUUCCCAUACCGUUUCUGUGUGUGAGUAUCCUGCUGCAUGAGAAGGGCCAGGGAACAGCUCACCUAACUCUGCUGGGUCCAGGCUUGCAUCUAUCCUUACAACCGUCCAUCUCUUUCCUCUCAUUAUCCCUCUUUUUCUGUUCAGCAUUUUGCGCAGAGCAAUCAAUAUACAUUAUGAUACAUACAUAGGAGCUUGUAAUUGUACUGCUGUUGACAUAUUUGGCUUUAGUGCUUGGAUGGGAGCUGCUUAUUUGUCUUCAGUAGUGGCUGCAGGUUUGUUCUAUUGAUAAAAACUUUUGCUGAAACAGUGGGACUCUGAACUAACAAAUGACUUGGCUAAAGAUAGUCCCUGCCUUUAACCAAAACUAUUUCCAACAAGGCCUUGCCUUGAGCAUCAAUAUUUUUGAUGAAUAAAUGCAAACACAUGAUAGUACGUCAGUGGAGAGGCCACACACAUUUCACUACAGGGCUGAGCUACAGGCACGGCAUCUGUGGUGUUGGGGUCUCCGCUGGAGAAAAGGGCAGUGUCCUGGUGCCCAAGUAGCACAGGGCGGGGGACACGCAGAAACCAGCUCAGAGUGGCAGAGCACUGCUGUGGGCUGUCAGUCGAGAGCUAACUGUGAUUUGCAAAUCUUGCUCCUUUGGCUGUGCUUGUGGAGCACACGGGGGCCUGUGUGAGCAGCAAUGUUUCAAGUAUUUGCAUCCAGCGGCCAGAGCUCCAUGGACUUUUCUCCAGGCUGGGGGCCUGGAUCGAGCAGCUCCCACUUGCUACCCCCUCCUUGCUGGUCCUUGCUUGCUCCCUCCCUCCACAACAUGGCCCAGCAGCCACACCAGUGCACACCUUUGGGUGGCUGUGGGGUUAAUCCCACUGUGGAAAUCAUUUAGGUAAAACAGAAAGUGGUAAAAAAAAGAAGAGUUAUUUUCAAUGCAGUCAUUUUUCUGAGGCAGUGGCUUGAGAGCUGAAUGGUGCUUUGGUGCUUUGCAAAAUGUUAAAAUUAACACCUUGACUGAAUUAUGUUUGUACAGAUCAUUUAGAGGUAGGAAGGACAGAUUUAAACAGGAAUGCAAUGUUGGAGGGAUUUGUAAAACAGUUAAAUAUUCCCUGUAUCUAAUUUGCCUCUUUAGAUGCACAGAGAGCAAGAGGGUGCAGAAAAAAAGCACUAAGUUCAGGUAAAUGCCUUGAGAGGCAGAGGGUUGAAGUCUCCUGGAGUUGAUCUUAAGUAUAGAUAAUUAUGUUUUUGUUUCUUUUUACUUACCUUUAAAGCUUUUGUAACUGUCAUCUGUAUUUUGAUUGUGUAAGUGUAUUCAUUAUUUUUACUCCAUCUGAGGUUUGUGUUAAUGCUUGUUUCUAAGUGAUAAAUACCAUUAUUGAUCUAUCCCCAUGUUUUAAAAGUGGACUCUGGGGCCACUUGACUUCUUCCUAGUGUCCUGUAUGUUUUUUAAGCAUAAAAGGAAACACAGCAUUCCUCCA